CGGUCCUAGUGGCGAACGGUCGCGUAACAUGUAACCACCUGCCCUGAAGUGGGGGACAACAUCCCGAAAGGGGUGCUAAUACCGCAUGUGGUCACGAGUCGGCAUCGGCUUGUGUCUAAAGAUUUAUCGCUUCAGGAUGGGCUUGCGGCCUAUCAGGUAGUUGGUGGGGUAAUGGCCUACCAAGCCGACGACGGGUAGCUGGUCUGAGAGGACGAUCAGCCGGAUUGGGACUGAGAUACGGCCCAGACUCCUACGGGAGGCAGCA
rnacentral:rRNA from 1 species